GGCUGAUCUGAAGGGAGUGAGUUAUCUCAAUUUAUUGUUCAUAAUCUGUUACAGAUCAAACUCCUGUUCUACUCUUCCCCUCCUUCUCACUACUGCGUUAAACUAGUCUUAA
rnacentral:Y_RNA from 1 species